UACGAAGGACCCAAGCGUUAUCCGGAUUUAUUGGGUUUAAAGGGUGCGUAGGCGGGCAGGUAAGUCCGUGGUGAAAUCUCUGAGCUUAACUCAGAAACUGCCAUGGAUACUAUUUGUCUUGAAUGUUGUGGAGGUAAGCGGAAUAUGUCAUGUAGCGGUGAAAUGCUUAGAUAUGACAUAGAACACCGAUUGCGAAGGCAGCUUACUACACAAAUAUUGACGCUGAGGCACGAAAGCGUGGGGAUCAAACAGG
rnacentral:rRNA from 1 species